rnacentral:lncRNA from 1 species
CACAUUCUGCUUUACCGAAACUUAAAACUAUCAUGAGUGAAUAUUCUUCCAGAAUGGACUUGAUUUCUUAAAUAAUACACUUACAAUGAUGUGUACCAGAUAAAAAUGAUUAAAAGGAAGCAUUUCCCAGUGGUAACCGUAAAAUAAACACUGCAAAUCGAGCGAUAGAAAUUUCAGAUUUAUUGAAGCCUGGCACUUGAAAGCUGGAGUAGUACGCACAGAAAGAAAAAUUAUUUUAUGUUUUCCUAAAAUAAGUCUCCCAUGAACACAUUGCACGAAUGAGCAGGAAGACAGAGUGCAAACUUAUAUGUACACUAACUGGUCCGUUCAUCCAUUUUGAAUAGACCAGCUACAAAAGCUCACUUGGUUCAUUCUCGCCAGAAUUCACUGACAUGAUAAUCAAACAUGUCCUGCAGUGUCCCCACACCCGGCGCGUCCAACCUGACAAUUAAGUGCACACAAAAAUAAGACCAACAAAAUUUAGCAUCUUUACAGGAAAAUACACCUAUAUAUAUUUCUGGGGUUUCUUACAAAGAAAAUCAUGGGAAUUAAAAGAAGGUUAACAUAGAGCUAACAGAUAUGAACAAACCAGACAAUAAAUGCAUAGCGUCUGGGGAACGAAACCACUACCAGAUACAUGGUAUCGCAUGAGUGCCUGCCCUUCCUCUAGCCUGCAACAUCUGGGAGCUGCAUAUAUGCUUUCAGAUUUGUGCUAAUUCUGCAAAUUCAGAAUAUGCCCAAAGACAUUGUACAUAGGUUUAGUUCUUUGCGAUCCAAUAUAUUCAGGAAAGAACAGUUUUAGUUCCAUAGAGAAGGAAUAAAAAAAUUCAACCAAGACACCAUCAGCCUGCUUAUGCGAUCAACAUAUAAUUACUGGAUUUCAACUUAAAUAAAUUCUUUGGAGAUGAUGUGCUAGCUAUAAAGGGAAUGACAUUUGAGAUGGUAUACUGAGUCAAUCGAACAACAAAAAGGAAGAACAAAAUUGCUGUAUUACAUAUUUACAUGCAGUCACGUUGGGCACAAACUGAAAAAUGAGUUCGCGAUAAGAUAACAUAAGCCUGUCGUAGUUAAAUAUAACGGAGACGCACAUAGAAGCUCUUCGCAGUUCACCGGAUGAAAUAGUUGGGUGUUCUGGAUAGGUGGACUCCCGGUUGUGCCCAGCUGCGGCAACUGCCACACCCCACUGCCACCGGACGGCGCCCCCAUCCAGGAAUACACAAGUUGCCCCACGCCAACCAAGAUCUUUCAAAUCUUCUCUAGCAUUGUCAUCGCAAAAGGACUUUCAUCAGUGGCUCGCUGACAAUCUCCCCCAAACCCUACAAGAGAUUCAAGGAAGUUUAAACUUCCAUUUUGCACAUGUGCAAUUGAGUCACUCACCUUGCUAGAUUAUGUCAGAUCUAUUAUCCAUAUUUAAGCCCUCCGAAUUAUUGUAUUUUCCUGGCAAAAUAAUGGAUCAACAAGUUUGUCCCUUCAUAUUGUCAAACACGGGCUGACGGGACCAUCUACUUUGGUCGUUCAAAUUAUAAAACGCAAUCAUGAUGUUGAAAUCUCAUCUCAUUCCAUCACGUGAGCUUUUCCCAGUUUUUUUAAAGAGCUUUUCUCAGUUUUGGACAAACUGAAUGACGGUGACGAUUUGUAUAUUGUAGCUUUUCCUUCAUUACGCUUCACUGGUUAGAUGGGAGAGCGCGCUGUGCCCCUAUGUUCAACCCCAAAAACCUAGAUUCAAGGUUGUAGGUCAUAGUAGUUGUCAUCACUCGCAAGCUUGCUUGUGCACUUUAAAAAACUGUAUGACGAAGCACAUCAAGAGAAGCAAAGGUGCUCUCAAGUUGUUAUGCAUAUCAUAUAGCACAUGUAGGACAACAAAAUGACAGUCAUCAAGGAAAAUAUACAAUUACCAAAAUCAACCCCAAAUCAGCACUCCCCUCGCCAUCUAUGUAUCAGACUACUUGGAACUGAACUGUAUGUAAAGCAAGAUUUAAGUGUUGACCAUUAGUCCUCAAUGUCCCGUGUGUUCUCCAUCAUGCUCCUGACUUUACUGUCAUACUCUAGUUCGUAGUCUAAAUUCAGUUACUGGUUGCACUCACCCCUAAGUGAACACUAAAAGUUUUAACAGGAUAAAUCACACAUAUAUAUCAUUUCCUUAGUCAAUAGAGUCCUGGAACUGUGUCACAAGAUACCGACAAAACUGACCGGAGUUUUCGUAGUUCUCUGAAACUUUUCAUGUCUGGUUCGCUACUACUCACAGUUCUUUCCUGGAUUCAAUAAACCCCAUGAAAGCAGACCUGUAAACAACUGAAAAUAAGGUUGUAAAAUUCAUCAAAAUCAUCUAGAGCAAACAGUAUGACAUACUUUUUGCACAAGUACUGUAAAAACAAGUAUUACCUGUCCUAGCCUUUUGGCUUGAACUGAAAAAACAGUAUGACAUACUUUUUUACUCCUACAACUACCUUCGUGAUGAUCGGAUGAAAGUGUCGCAGAGACUAUGCACAUUUAUUUUGUUGGAUUGUGCAGAUCCAAUUGAGCAGUCCCUAAAGCUGGAAGGAUUAUAGUUGAAAAAAAAUACCUGGAUAGCCUUUGUUGUGAUACUACUUGCUUUAUUGUCAAUGAGGAAGUGCUAGAAGUAUGAGAAAAAUCCCAGUAUACCAUCAAUUAUUGAUUACUUGUCAGACCCAAGAAAGCAUUCACACCUCCAAGAUGUUUGUUAGACUGUUAACAUAGCAUGAAUUCACUUCAGAUUACUCCUUUCUGUACAUAUAAUUAGAUAAAAGAGAAUACUGGUUAUGAACUAUAUUCAUAAUAUGAAUGACAGUGUGAAUCUCUCGGCAGAAUUAUGAAGCAAAUAUUGGUUAGGAACCAAGGUUAAAAGCAAAC